ACAGAGGUCUCAAGCGUUGUUCGGAUUCAUUGGGCGUAAAGGGUGCGUAGGUGGCAUGGUAAGUCGGAUGUGAAAUCCCGGGGCUCAACCCCGGAACUGCAUUCGAUACUGCUGCGCUAGAGUACUGGAGAGGAGAUUGGAAUUUACGGUGUAGCAGUGAAAUGCGUAGAUAUCGUAAGGAAGACCAGUGGCGAAGGCGGAUCUCUGGACAGUUACUGACACUGAGGCACGAAGGCCAGGGGAGCAAACGGGA
rnacentral:rRNA from 1 species